GACGAACGCUGGCGGCGUGCUUAACACAUGCAAGUCGAACGAAGUGGCGAACGGGUGAGUAACGCGUAAUCAACCUGCCCUUCAGAGGGGGACAACAGUUGGAAACGACUGCUAAUACCGAAUACUGAAGGAGGGGAUUGCGUCUGAUUAGCUAGUAGGAGUGGUAAAGGCCCACCAAGGCGAUGAUAAGUAGCCUGUCUGAGAGGAUGAACGGCAACAUGGUGACUGAGACACGGCCCAGACUUCUACGGGAGGCAGCAGUGGGGAAUCUUCCGAAAUGGACGAAAGUCUGACGGAGCAACGCCGCGUGAGUGAUGACGGCCUUCGGGUUGUAAAGCUCUGUUAAUCGGGACGCGGUACCGGAAUAGAAAGCCACGGCUAACUACGUGCCAGCAGCCGCGGUAAUUC
rnacentral:rRNA from 1 species